UAACUCGCGCCUAGCAGCGCGGCUGCCGAGGCCUGACGGGGCAGUGCUGGGAGGAUCGCGGGCGGGGGUCGGUCCUGGCGUGACUUGGAAGGGAGGGAACCGGGCACAAGCCUCCGGUCGUAGAGGCAGCUCACAGUGGCGCACGCAGACCGCGUUAGCGCCAGUGCCUGAGCCAGAAACUGCCCGCUUGGCCGGAGGGGCCGAAGCUCCAGGCUGUGCGCGGUGGCCGGACUCCGUGCUAGCUCGCUCGCACACCCCUCGCCGCUCCGCUCCUGGCUCGCCGGCGGGGGCCGAGCCCAGGCAGGCGGGCGGGGGAGGUGAGGGGUGCGGGUGUAUGUGCAUGUGCCUGGCUGGGUGCACACCCCGCAAGGCGGCAGCGCCAGGACACGGAGCGCUCCCCAGAGCCCCGCUGCCUCUCACGGCUCCGGCGGCCGCGACCAUGUUCCAGCCCGCGGCUAAGCGAGGUUUUACCAUAGAAUCCUUGGUGGCCAAGGACGGUGGCACCGGCGGGGGCACUGGAGGCGGGGGCGCGGGCUCCCAUCCCCUGGCGACGGCCGCUUCAGAGGAACCACUCCGGCCCACAGCGCUCAACUAUCCUCACCCCAGCGCGGCCGAGGCGGCCUUCGUGAGCGGUUUCCCCGCCGCAGCCGCCGCGGGCGCCGGUCGCUCGCUCUACGGAGGGCCGGAGCUCGUGUUUCCCGAGGCCAUGAACCACCCCGCGCUGACCGUGCACCCAGCGCACCAGCUGGGCGCCUCCCCGUUGCAGCCCCCGCACUCCUUCUUCGGCGCCCAGCACCGGGACCCUCUCCACUUCUACCCCUGGGUGCUGCGGAACCGCUUCUUCGGCCACCGCUUCCAGGCGAGCGACGUGCCCCAGGAUGGGCUGCUUCUGCACGGCCCCUUCGCGCGCAAGCCCAAGCGGAUCCGCACGGCCUUCUCGCCCUCGCAGCUGCUGCGGCUGGAGCGCGCCUUCGAGAAGAACCACUACGUGGUGGGCGCCGAGCGGAAGCAGCUGGCCGGCAGCCUCAGCCUCUCCGAGACGCAGGUGAGGAUCCUGAGAUAGAGAGAUGGACUGUGCAGAGCCCUACAGUCAGGCAGGAAUUUCAGCUCCUUGAUCCUGUCUGACUCAGGCCUGAGCCUUGUCCCUCUGAAAAAAAUAUGGGUCUCCCUCCCCCCAACUCCCCCUGGAAACAGUAAGUCCAGUUUUCCACAUGGAAAAUUAGGAACCAAACCUCUUAUAAAGUGUCCAUAAACCUCCCAUCUCUCCUGCACGCAGCACUUCCCAAACGCCUUUUCUGAUUAGACUUGAAUCUUUUUUCUAUUGAUGUUCUAUUUUCUAGGUAUGGCCCUGGAACCUCUUGCCUGAGUGAGCCCUGGGCGAGGUGGCACCUCACCUCAGUCCAGCUGGACAGCCACACAUAGAACAGGUUUUCGGGUGGGGCCAGCUAAUAGACUGCUUGGUUCUCCAGAUUCCCGUAGACUGCUGAGAAGAUGGAGAUGUGAAUGAGUAGAGGAGUAGGCAGCUGGAGGUCUCUGUUACUGAGACAGUGGAAAAGCACCAAGAGGGAGCAGGUCCUGUGUAGGACCAUCUGAGUAGCAUCCUGAAGGUCAAGUGAGAGUACGCCAGGUCUGGUAACUCAGGCAAAAGUGGAGAAAGUCUUAGAAGGAUCUGGCUUCACUAAGAAACAGAGAGCCACUCAAUGAAGGGAGAGAUUUGGGAGACCACAGACCCCGCCCCCCCCCCCCAACCCAGAAACAUCACACUGAGCAAGAGAAUCGUCAUUCUUUUUUUUUUUUUUUCCCUCAGUACAAGGGAUUGAACCAGGGACGCUCAAUCGCUGAGCCACAUCUCCGGCCUUUUUUUGUAUUUUCAUUUUGAGACAGGGCCUUGCUAAGUUGCUGAGGCUGGCUUUGAACUUGCCAUCCUCUUGCCUCAGCCACUGGGAUUACAGGUGUGCGCCAUCACACCCAGCAAUCAUUCUGACUGUCUUUGGAGCUAAGAGAAUGAAUGUGUUAGUGUUGGGGUGGGAAGGCACAUGCAAAAUAGGUGCAGCCUCCUAGGGCCUGCUGCCUUGAAGCUGAUAGCCACACCAUGUGACCUGCUUUCCUUCUAGGUCCUCUGUCCUCUAGAGGUGUCCUCAGAGUCACCUGGUUGGAUUAGGAAGAGUGUGAAGUACACUCUCAUCUCCUAUUGUACUCAGUGCCCAUUCCCUUCUUUUUUUCUUUCCCUCCAAGUAAAAAAUAAUUAUUGUUACAUCAGUAAUGCAUUCUAGAAAAUUCAGAAGUAAAAGGAAGAGAGAAGAGUCAGCCAUGGUUCGGGUACAUUCCCUUCUAGUCUUUCUCCCCAUGUGUAGAUUUUGUUUUCCAUGGUUGUGACCACACUGUGCCAGUGCUGUGCAUCCCGGCUUUGUCACUAGCAUUAUGAAGUCAUCAGCGUCCCCCUGUUAUUACAGUCUUUGUAAACAGCAUCUGGACACUCAGUCCAAGGCUGUUCUCCGGAAGAUAGCUGGGCUGCUUAGGGAGAGGGUUGUGUCCUUGUUUCUCAAGACCUGCCUCCUUGACCCCAGGAUUUUCAUGGAGAAAAAACACCUCCACUUGGUGUGCCAGGACACGGCCCCUGGCCUGAAAACGUGUCCUCCUGUGCCUGCAGUUAGUUCUACCAUCAGCACGUCCCUCUUUGGCCAGGGUUGCUGGAAAGGUAGCAUGGCCGGGUCUAAGCCACUGGAAGUCAGGGUGAUGGUCAGACUCCUUUCCAGAAGGAGAUUUAGGAGGUGUGGGGAGAAAGGUGCAGAAGGGGCCUCUGUCUCUGGUGUUGUCCACCAUCACCUGGUAAUCACCCUCGGCUAGCCCACUUGGGCUUCUCAGAAAUGACACCCCAGCCUUGUAUCCAGCCCUGAGUCACACACAGGAGGCAGGGUGAGCUCACCCACCCACUGGCUGGCACAGUCACAGCAGGCUCUGGGGUGGAGGGCAGGGACUGGGCUGGCUGCCAAAUGGUUGUGCUGAGAACCGACCAGGGCUUGGGUGGCCCUGUGCCCAAGGAGAGGUGGGCAUGGAAUCCAGAAACCCUGUGUCCACAGCAACUGCCAUCCUCCAGUCUACCUGAAGUGAAGUGUGCAGGCUACUGAUUUGAACCUGCCCUGGAAAUGGAGAAAGAAGCCCCUCACCCUUGCUCCAUCCAUUGCAGCCGUGCACCUCGUCUUCCGGGACAGUGAUUGGGCCCUGUUGCCCCACCUCCACCCUCAUGCUGGACCUCUGGGUCCUGGGCUCAAGAGUCCAGGAGGUGCCCUGGAGUUGCAUUGGUUCCAAAAAAACAUUCUUCCUGUGGACGAGGGACUUAAGCCCAGAGAGAGAAAGGGGCUUAGCCAAGGUAGGUACCCAGGCUCCUCCUGCCAACUAGGAGGAGGGUUCGGGUUUGGCCCAGCUCUGCAGGGCCAAAGAAAGAAGCUCACAGUCAGGUGGAGUUGGUGGACAAAGGCUUUCUCUACAGGGCACAGGCCAGGAUGCUCCCAGGUACCACCUCUCGGGUUGCAUAUGGGAGGAUGUGAAGGGCUGCAUCCUGGACCCUGAGUAAACACUGAGGGAGGAGGACGAGGGCGAUUAGAGCUAGGAUAAAACCAGGAAGGGUUCCUGGGUGGUUUGGAAGCGUGACUUGCCUGCCCCUCUGCAAUGGAGAUCCUUUGUCCAGCUUUGGUUUGAGCCCCAUCUCUCCUCUUGUCGGGGUUCUCACUGCCUGAUGCAGUGGGGAGCUCUCUGUGUUCAAAUAGGAGUCUACUAUAGUCCCCAGGAUUUCUCCUGUUUCUUGUGCUACCUGUUCCCACAGCAGGACAGGGCCAGUGCUGUGGGAGCGGGAGGUCCAGAGCUGAUCCUGAAGGGCAGAGCGUUGCCCUGAUGUGGGGCCUCACACAUGCCUCCUCCCACCCUGUCUGUCUAAGGAGGACAAGGGCUCAGUGGUAGAUUUCAGACUACCCCAAGGACCUGGCACUGAGAGGCCAGGGCUCCCCACUGCCUAGCUCCAGCCUGCCCAGCUCCACUUCUAAUGUGUGUGUGGGUGGGGGCUGGCGAUUCCACCAGAGGCUGCAAUCAAGGGUCCCCUGAUAAAGGAGAUGCACAGGAGGUGGGGUAGAGCCUCUAGGGGUGGCUCCAUGACCCUAGGAGUGGCCUGGCCAUCCUGUGCCCUGCUGUUGGUGUGGAAACCAUAUCUAGGUUAGGAAGCCUCUUUGUGCAGUGGAGAGCUCAGGGCCAGCCACGGGAGGGAGUCAGCUUGAACCUGCUGGGACCCACAUGGUGACUCACUCCACCCCAGAAAGCAGCGAUCGAUCGUUCUCUUCUCUCGCAGUCGGUAGCACCAGGUCUGCUGCAGGGCUUUGCCUCUGCUGUGGUUGCAGGGACCAGGAUGCUCAGUGGCUCCACACCCCAUCCCUUGCCUGUGAGAGGGACCAGAAUAUGUCCCCCUCACCAGCCCAGAGUCCUCUUCCGGCCCCAUCUCACUUGCCCUGGAAGAGCAGUUCUCCAGACCCAUCAGGUGGCAGCUGUCCCGAGGAGAGGACCCUGGUCUGUGAGCCCUGACCCUGCGUUUCUCCAGCUGCCUCCCAGCUCACGUGAGCGCUCAGGCCCCGGCUGCUCUGGGGCUGCUGGGUGUUCUCAUCUGUGCCUCUCCCUCCUGGCCCAGGUGAAGGUGUGGUUCCAGAACCGGAGGACAAAAUACAAACGACAGAAGCUGGAGGAGGAAGGGCCUGAGUCCGAGCAGAAGAAGAAGGGUUCCCACCACAUCAACCGGUGGCGCAUUGCCACGAAGCAGGCCAACGGG